rnacentral:rRNA from 1 species
CCUACGGGAAGCAGCAGUGGGGAAUAUUGGGCAAUGGGCGAAAGCCUGACCCAGCAACGCCGCGUGAGGGAAGAAGGUUUUCGGAUUGUAAACCUCUGUCCUAUGGGACGAAGGACGUGACGGUACCAUAGGAGGAAGCCCCGGCUAACUACGUGCCAGCAGCCGCGGUAAUACGUAGGGGGCGAGCGUUGUCCGGAAUGACUGGGCGUAAAGGGCGUGUAGGCGGCUUUUUAAGUCUGGAGUGAAAGCCCCGCUUUUAAGGUGGGGAGUGCUUUGGAGACUGGAGAGCUUGAGUGCGGAAGAGGUAAGUGGAAUUCCCAGUGUAGCGGUGAAAUGCGUAGAGAUUGGGAGGAACACCAGUGGCGAAGGCGACUUACUGGGCCGUAACUGACGCUGAGGCGCGAAAGCGUGGGGAGCGAACAGGAUUAGAUACCCGUGUAGUC